rnacentral:rRNA from 1 species
AGUGAACGCUGGCGGUAGGCCUAACACAUACAAGUCGAACGGCAGCACAGUAAGAGCUUGCUCUUACGGGUGGCGAGUGGCGGACGGGUGAGGAAUACAUCGGAAUCUACUUUUUCGUGGGGGAUAACGUAGGGAAACUUACGCUAAUACCGCAUACGACCUACGGGUGAAAGCAGGGGAUCUUCGGACCUUGCGCGAUUGAAUGAGCCGAUGUCGGAUUAGCUAGUUGGCGGGGUAAAGGCCCACCAAGGCGACGAUCCGUAGCUGGUCUGAGAGGAUGAUCAGCCACACUGGAACUGAGACACGGUCCAGACUCCUACGGGAGGCAGCAGUGGGGAAUAUUGGACAAUGGGCGCAAGCCUGAUCCAGCCAUACCGCGUGGGUGAAGAAGGCCUUCGGGUUGUAAAGCCCUUUUGUUGGGAAAGAAAAGCAGCAGGUUAAUACCCCGCUGUUCUGACGGUACCCAAAGAAUAAGCACCGGCUAACCUCGUG